rnacentral:rRNA from 1 species
AAAUUGAAGAGUUUGAUCAUGGCUCAGAUUGAACGCUGGCGGCAGGCCUAACACAUGCAAGUCGAACGGUAACAGGAAGCAGCUUGCUGCUUCGCUGACGAGUGGCGGACGGGUGAGUAAUGUCUGGGAAACUGCCUGAUGGAGGGGGAUAACUACUGGAAACGGUGGCUAAUACCGCAUAAUGUCGCAAGACCAAAGAGGGGGACCUUCGGGCCUCUUGCCAUCAGAUGUGCCCAGAUGGGAUUA